AAUUUUUUGGAAAUAAAUAUCAAAAUAGAAAAGUACAAUUCCAAUGGAAUAGCUAUAGUCAGCAUUUAUUUAAGUUUUUUGAUCAUUCACUGAAAGAACAGGGAAAAAAGACUAGAUUUUAUUUCUGAAAUGUUGGGCAGAUCAGGAAGGAGCAGACUUCACCAUUUGUAGGUAUGAUAUCCCAAUGAUUUUGCACUUUCAACAUCAGAG
rnacentral:misc_RNA from 1 species